rnacentral:lncRNA from 1 species
CAGGAAUUUUCCUGGCUUCAAUGCAUUGGAAAUUUCCCAUUAGAUGUUUAUCCAGAUUUAACUCAAGGUCUGCACAUGAAUUAUUCAGGCCGUGCCUGGGGCUGUCAUUCACCUUCCCUACAAGCAGCCAGAGGCAAAUGAAGCAUGACUUACUGCCAGAAAGCAAGCAGUUUGAUCUCUGGAAUUGA